UACGUAGGGUCCGAGCGUUGUCCGGAUUUAUUGGGCGUAAAGAGCUCGUAGGCGGUUCCGUAAGUCAGAUGUGAAAACUCAGGGCUCAACCCGGAGACGCCAUCUGAUACUGCGGUGACUGGAGUCUGGUAGGGGAACACGGAAUUCCUGGUGUAGCGGUGAAAUGCGCAGAGAUCCGGAGGAAGACCGGUGGCGAAGGCGGUCUGCUGGGCAGUUUCUGACACUGAUGCGCGACAGCGUGGGGAGCAAACAGG
rnacentral:rRNA from 1 species